ACUUCUGCAGCUUCCUCCAGAGUUAUUGACAUGCUCUGUCUAACACUACUUUUAUCUCAACUGCAGCACAGAAAAGCUCCACCGGCCACCUCUGUCACGCCAACCAUGGCACCACCCUCAGAAGACACCACCUGCUGUGCUCGCUGCGGGGAGCGUGAUCCGCCUGCAAGCUCCCCGCAGGAGUGUGAGUCUGAGGUGCCAUGGGUGUGCUUUGACACUGGUUCCACUGCAGGUGUGUGCAGUGGGAUCGAGGUGGCUGUGGAGCUGGAUUUCUAUUGUGAUUUCUGUGACAAUAUAGGGACGGAGGUCGAGAUUUAAUUGUUUGUUUUGUUUGUUUUGAUAUGCAAUUUGUAAAAAAAAUCAAAGUCUAAAAUAUUAUAUAUACAUUUAUUCAA